rnacentral:rRNA from 1 species
AUUGAACGCUGGCGGCAGGCCUAACACAUGCAAGUCGAGCGAGCGGCGGACGGGUGAGUAAUGCCUAGGAAUCUGCCUGGUAGUGGGGGAUAACGUCCGGAAACAGGUGCUAAUACCGCAUACUGCUGGAUGGACCCGCGGUGCAUUAGCUAGUUGGUGAGGUAACGGCUCACCAAGGCCACGAUGCAUAGCCGACCUGAGAGGGUGAUCGGCCAAACUGGGACUGAGACACGGCCCAGACUCCUACGGGAGGCAGCAGUGGGGAAUAUGGCACAAUGGGCGCAAGCCUGAUGCAGCCAUGCCGCGUGUGUGAAGAAGGCCUUCGGGUUGUAAAGCACUUUCAGCGGGGAGGCGUUACCCGCAGAAGAAGCACCGGCUAACUCCGUGCCAGCAGCCGCGGUAAUAC